rnacentral:rRNA from 1 species
GAUGAACGCUGGCGGCGUGCCUAAUACAUGCAAGUCGAGCGAACAGACGAGGAGCUUGCUCCUCUGACGUUAGCGGCGGACGGGUGAGUAACACGUGGAUAACCUACCUAUAAGACUGGGAUAACUUCGGGAAACCGGAGCUAAUACCGGAUAAUAUAUUGAACGGCAGGGUUCAAUAGUGAAAGCCGGUUUUGCUGUACCUUCUAGAUGGAUCCGCGCCGCAUUAGCUAGUGGUUAAGGUAACGGCUUACCAAGGCGACGAGGCGUAGCCCACCUGAGAGGGUGAUCGGCCACACUGGAACUGAGACACGGUCCAGACUCCUACGGGAGGCAGCAGUAGGGAAUCUUCCGCAAUGGGCGAAAGCCUGACGGAGCAACGCCGCGUGAGUGAUGAAGGUCUUCGGAUCGUAAAACUCUGUUAUUAGGGAAGAACAAAUGUGUAAGUAACUAUGCACGUCUUGACGGUACCUAAUCAGAAAGCCACGGCUAACUACGUG